rnacentral:rRNA from 1 species
ACAGCCACACCACCUUGAGAAUACUGAACUUCAUCUGAUCUAAGCUAAGCAGGGUUGGGCCUGUUUAGUACUGGGAUGUGAGACUGCUGGGAAUACCAGAGGCAUGUA